CCUACGGGUGGCAGCAGUAGGGAAUUUUGCGCAAUGGUGGAAACCCUGACGCAGCAACGCCGCGUGAUCGAUGAAGCCCUUCGGUGUGUAAAGAUCUGUCAGUCGGGACGAAACCUCACGGUACCCACAGAGGAAGCACCUGCUAACUCCGUGCCAGCAGCCGCGGUCAUACGGGGGGUGCAAGCUUUUUCCGGAAUCAUUGGGCUUAACGAGUUCGUAGGUGGCACGUUAAGGCUGGUGUUAAAGGCGGAAGCUCAACUUCCGUAGGGCACUGGAUACUGGCGAGCUUGAAUGCGGUAGAGGUAAAGGGAAUGCCUGGUGUAGCGGUGAAAUGCGUAGAUAUCAGGAGGAACAGCGGUGGCGUAAGCGCUUUACUGGGCCGUAAUUGACACUGAGGAACGAAAGCCGGGGUAGCAAAUGGGAUUAGAUACCCGUGUAGUC
rnacentral:rRNA from 1 species